rnacentral:rRNA from 1 species
AUGGGCCAGGACCCAUUUCAGCGAUGCCAAAGUGCAAUUCCACCUGGCCUGCGAGGUGAUACUGCGGCUGGACGUUGCACAAGAGAAGCGUGCCUCACUCUAGGUGAAUUCAACCUGCGCAAGCAGCUUAAGCAAAGAAUCCUUGGUUUGGCUGCGAUUGAGAGAGCUCGCAAGAGGCAAGCCUCCCGGAUCACCUGGCUCAAGGAGGGGGACGCACGCUCUGCAUUUUUCCAAGCAAAAAUCAACUCACGCAAGCAGAAAAACUUCAUCCACUCCCUGGAAGUGGACAAUACUGUGAUCACCGCACAUGAUGAAAAGGCCUCUGUUGCACACUCACACUUCUCCAACCUGAUGGGAACAAAGGAGGAUAGAAAAUGCUCGUUCAACUGGGAGGAGCUGGACAUGCCCACAGUUCAGAAUGAGGGGCUCGACAACCUCUUCGCUGAAGCCAAAGUU